rnacentral:rRNA from 1 species
UACGUAGGGUGCAAGCGUUGUCCGGAAUUAUUGGGCGUAAAGAGCUCGUAGGCGGUUUGUCGCGUCUGCUGUGAAAACUCGGGGCUUAACCCCGGGCCUGCAGUGGGUACGGGCAGACUAGAGUGCGGUAGGGGAGACUGGAAUUCCGGGUGUAGCGGUGAAAUGCGUAGAUAUCCGGAGGAACACCGAUGGCGAAGGCAGCUUCCUGGCCUAACACUGACGCUGAGGUGCGAAAGCGUGGGUAGCGAACAGG